rnacentral:rRNA from 1 species
UACGUAGGGUGCAAGCGUUGUUCGGAGUUACUGGGCGUAAAGGGUGCGUAGGCGGCCCUGUAAGUAUGGUGUGAAAUCUCCCGGCUUAACUGGGAGGGUGCGCUAUAGACUGCGGGGCUCGAGUGUGGGAGAGGAAAGUGGAAUUCCUGGUGUAGCGGUGAAAUGCGUAGAUAUCAGGAGGAACACCGGUGGUGUAAACGGCUUUCUGGACCAUAACUGACGCUGAGGCACGAAAGCGUGGGUAGCAAACAGG